AAGGCCUCCUGCCACAGGCCGACCCCAGCCAGGGAGGCGGGGGGAGAGGAACAAUGCAGAGCCGUGCAGGUUAAUGGGGCAGUGCGGGACCUGGCUCGCACGGGGGGGACUUUUCAACAUUCUUUUACAGGCAUGUCAAAUAUGGAAGAAAUGGCGUUGGAAAAGGAAUCCGGCUCGGGGGAUUUGAAUCUGCCUGGAGAACCUGACUGAAUUCAGUUUUAGUUGAAAGAGAAGCGAGUCAGACUCUGAUACGGGUUCUGGCCAUUCCGGUCUACCUUAAGAGGCUCAGAUGAUUGACGCGCUGCGGUCUGAGGGAAGGGGAACGGGGGAUGACUGACGGGUGGAGUAUCAGAUAAGAGGGUCCAGGGGGAGCCGAGCAGCCUGGCCAGGCUCCACAGGCGGAGGGAAACGCUGCUCAUUCCCCGAGCAGAGAAAAUGGCGCAUCCUGCCUGCCGCUGGCCAACCGCAAGCAGGGGAAAGGUCAGCAGAGCAGCCCGUGUGAAAUACGGCGAUGCAAACGCAAUCAAAUAAACCGACUCUUACGCAAGGAAAAAGAAAAACUGGAACUCACGAGAUAAUGCAUUUGAAUGCGUGCAGGCACUCCAAACAUGUUUUCCAAUGCAUGCAAAUAUACCAUCAUUUUCUUUCUCUUCGCGGCAUAUUCUGUUGAGCUUAUUCAGAUGUGCCUCACUGACGCGGCUACAAUUGAUCUAUUUUGCAAUCUGACAGUUCGCUCCGGGGCUGGAGUACACUCACUGAGCCAGGUGUUCAGGUGUGUCCCCCCCCACCCCACCCCACCCCCGCUCAGGUGAGGCGUUCUGAAGGCUCGCCCGGUCGCUCGCUCGCUCGCUGCUGCCGCUCACCGAGCGGCAUGUCCCCACAAAUCCGGCCUUGUUUUUCCCUCUCCGCAGCCUUCAGGUCCCGAGUCAAUAUUAGCUUUGGCUCGCGACCCGAGUGUUUACCGACCUGUUCACUC